GUUGAGGUCGUCAACAGCGGAGCGCCGCCGCACUCCGGAGAUCACACCGUCAGGAUCUACACCAAGGCGGACGCGAGCUACUCCCUCGCCGUCCGUAACGGCGAGGUCGCGCUCGUGCCAACCAACCCUAGAGACGAGUAUCAGCACUGGUUCAAAGACAUGAGAUACAGCUCUACGGUGAAAGAUGAAGAGGGUUUUCCCAGCUUUGCACUUGUCAACAAAGCCACCGGCCUGGCUAUCAAGCACUCUAUUGGAGCAUCUCACCCUGUUCGCUUGGUACCCUACAACCCUGACUACCUCGACGAGUCGGUCCUAUGGUCGGAGAGCAAUGACACUGGUGCUGGCUAUCGAUGCAUCAGGAUGGCGAACAACAUCCGCCUCAACUUCGAUGCCUUCCACGGUGAUGAGGAUCAUGGUGGUGUUAAAGACGGGACCACUGUUGUCCUUUGGGAGUGGCUCAAAGGGAAGAACCAGAUGUGGAAAAUUGUCCCUUGGGAAACUGCCUUUCCUGCACCCAAUAAUGCCCGCUGGGAUGCUGGAACUCUUACGCGCAGCCCCACUGUCAGGAUAUUUACCAAGGCUGACGAGAACUAUUCCCUCUCCGUUCGUGAUGGUAAUGUCAUUCUCGCCCCGGCUAACCCUCGUGAUGAGUACCAGCACUGGUACAAGGACAUGAAAUUCAGCAAUACUGUGAAAGAUGAAGAGGAUUUACCAGGCUUCGCUCUGGUUAACAAGGUUACAGGGCAAGCUAUCAAACACUCUAUUGGAAAGGGCCACCCAGUUCGACUUGUGCCAUACAAUCCAGAUUUUGUCGAUGAGUCAAUCCUGUGGUCUGAGAGCAAGGACACAGGUGAGCACUUCAAGUGCAUCAGGAUGGUGAACAACAUACGCUUGAACUUUGAUGCACUGCACGGGGAUGAGGAACAUGGCGGAGUGCGUGAUGGAACUACUGUUGUACUCUCGGAGUGGCUUAAAGGCAAAAACCAGAGAUGGAAAAUUGUUCCUUACUGAACAGGUAACAGAGAUGAUACUUGUGUGCCUCUCUCUUAGAGUUCUCAUCUCCAGUGUACUGCUACUUC
rnacentral:misc_RNA from 1 species